rnacentral:rRNA from 1 species
CACGUAGGGGGCAAGCGUUGUCCGGAAUUAUUGGGCGUAAAGAGCUCGUAGGCGGUCUGUCACGUCGGCUGUGAAAACCCGAGGCUCAACCUCGGGCCUGCAGUCGAUACGGGCAAACUAGAGUACUGCAGGGGAGACUGGAAUUCCUGGUGUAGCGGUGAAAUGCGCAGAUAUCAGGAGGAACACCGGUGGCGAAGGCGGGUCUCUGGGCAGUAACUGACGCUGAGGAGCGAAAGCGUGGGGAGCGAACAGG